CAGGUGCUGCAUGGCUGUCGUCAGCUCGUGUUGUGAAAUGUUGGGUUAAGUCCCGCAACGAGCGCAACCCUUAUCCUUUGUUGCCAGCGGUCCGGCCGGGAACUCAAAGGAGACUGCCAGUGAUAAACUGGAGGAAGGUGGGGAUGACGUCAAGUCAUCAUGGCCCUUACGACCAGGGCUACACACGUGCUACAAUGGCGCAUACAAAGAGAAGCGACCUCGCGAGAGCAAGCGGACCUCAUAAAGUGCGUCGUAGUCCGGAUUGG
rnacentral:rRNA from 1 species